rnacentral:rRNA from 1 species
AUGAAUACCUUUUUGAUGGCUCCAUAUAUGGCUGAAGAUGUUAAAAAAGCUGUGUUCAGCAUAGGAGAUUUGAAGGCUCCAGGACCUAAUGGACUCCAUGCAAUAUUUUUCAAAAAGUAUUGGCAUAUUUUGGGAGAGGAGAUUACCCAGGAGGUAUUGCUUGCUAUUAAUGCUCGUCAGAUCCCGGAAGAGUGGAACAGUACAACCAUUGUUAUGAUUCCAAAGGUGGAGAACCCUGAGCUGGUAACUCAAUUCAGACCCAUCAGUCUAUGUAAUGUUUUAUAUAAGAUAAUAUCUAAAAUGCUAGCCCUCCGGCUUAAGAGUAUUCUACCUGACAUAAUUUCUCUCUCGCAAAGUGCAUUCGUUCCAGGUAGAAUGAUAACAGAUAACAUUCUUAUUGCCUAUGAAUGUGUGCAUAAAAUCAAGAAUAAAAGAGGUGGCCAAGCUGGGUUAUGUGUAGUGAAGUUGGACAUGCAUAAGGCAUAUGACAGAGUCGAGUGGCCUUUCCUGCAUGAUAUGAUGGUGAAGCUAGGGUUUCAUGAACAAAGGAUUGAAAUGAUGAUGGCAUGUGUGAGUUCUGUCAAAUAUAGAGUAAGAUUUAAUUCACAAGAGACAGAUGUUUUUGUUCCUGGCAGGGGCAUCAGGCAGGGGGAUCCCCUAUCCCCCUACCUUUUUCUCUUAUGUGCAGAGGGUCUUUCUAGUCUACUGCAGUUUGAAGAAGAAGCUGGUGGCAUAGAGGGAAUCAGGGUGUGCAGGAAUGCACCAUCAGUAUCACACCUUUUAUUCGCUGAUGAUUCUUUGAUUUUCAUGAAAGCAGAUGUGUUAAAUGCAGCUUCCUUACAGCAGGUUCUAGAAGCCUAUUGCCAAAGCUCGGGACAAAUGGUGAGUCUGGCAAAGAGCAGCAUUUUCUUCAGUCCUAAUGUACCUGAGGCCUCAAGGGUUGAGAUCCGUCAGGAAUUACAUAUUGAUACUGAGGCUUUAUCCGAUAAAUAUCUUGGACUUCCAGCAAUGGUAGGAGCAGAUAGGAGUGAUUGUUUUAGACACUUCUAUGAAAGAAUUAAGGAGAAACUUAAGGGAUGGAUGGAAAAACAGUUAUCAACUGGAGGGAAGGAGAUCUUGCUAAAAUCUGUUGCACAGGCUAUCCCAGUGUUUGCUAUGUCUGUCUUCUGUCUGCCUAAAGGCUUAUGUAAAGAGAUCACUGACCUAAUAUCACAGUUUUGGUGGGGGGAUGAUGAGGAACAUAGAAGAAUGCAU